rnacentral:rRNA from 1 species
UGGGGAAUUUUGGACAAUGGGCGAAAGCCUGAUCCAGCAAUGCCGCGUGUGUGAAGAAGGCCUUCGGGUUGUAAAGCACUUUUGUCCGGAAAGAAAUCCUUGGCUCUAAUACAGUCGGGGGAUGACGGUACCGGAAGAAUAAGCACCGGCUAACUACGUGCCAGCAGCCGCGGUAAUACGUAGGGUGCAAGCGUUAAUCGGAAUUACUGGGCGUAAAGCGUGCGCAGGCGGUUUGCUAAGACCGAUGUGAAAUCCCGGGCAUCCAAGCCUGGGAACUGCAUUGGCGACUGGGCAGGCUAGAGUAUGGCAGAGGGGGGUAGAAUUCCACGUGUAGCAGUGAAAUGCGUAGAGAUGUGGAGGAAUACCGAUGGCGAAGGCAGCCCCCUGGGCCAAUACUGACGCUCAUGCACGAAAGCGUGGGGAGCAAACAGGAUUAGAUACCCUGGUAGUCCACGCCCUAAAACGAUGUCAACUAGUUGUUGGGGAUUCAUUUCCUUAGUAACGUAGCUAACGCGUGAAGUUGACCGCCUGGGGAGUACGGUCGCAAGAUUAAAACUCAAAGGAAUUGACGGGGUCAUAGCUGUUUCCU